UACGGGGGGGGCAAGCGUUGUUCGGAAUUACUGGGCGUAAAGGGCUCGUAGGCGGCCAACUAAGUCAGACGUGAAAUCCCUCGGCUUAACCGGGGAACUGCAUCUGAUACUGGUUGACUUGAGUUUGGGAGAGGGACGCGGAAUUCCAGGUGUAGCGGUGAAAUGCGUAGAUAUCUGGAGGAACACCGGUGGCGAAGGCGGCGUCCUGGACCAAUACUGACACUGAGGAGCGAAAGCCAGGGGAGCAAACGGG
rnacentral:rRNA from 1 species